rnacentral:misc_RNA from 1 species
UUUCCGUAGGUGAACCUGCGGAUGGAUCAUUACAGAGUUCAUGCCCGAAAGGGUAGACCUCCCACCCUUGUGUAUUAUUACUUUGUUGCUUUGGCGAGCGCGAGCUCGCCAGAGAAUACCAAAACUCUUUUUAUUAAUGUCGUCUGAGUACUAUAUAAUAGUUAAAACUUUCAACAACGGAUCUCUUGGUUCUG